CAGUAGCCGCGGUAAUACGAAGGGGGCUAGCGUUGUUCGGAAUUACUGGGCGUAAAGCGCACGUAGGCGGAUAUUUAAGUCAGGGGUGAAAUCCCAGAGCUCAACUCUGGAACUGCCUUUGAUACUGGGUAUCUUGAGUAUGGAAGAGGUGAGUGGAAUUCCGAGUGUAGAGGUGAAAUUCGUAGAUAUUCGGAGGAACACCAGUGGCGAAGGCGGCUCACUGGUCCAUUACUGACGCUGAGGUGCGAAAGCGUGGGGAGCAAACAGGAUUAGAUACCCCUGUAGUCCCUGUAUCUUAUAC
rnacentral:rRNA from 1 species